rnacentral:rRNA from 1 species
UGCANGUCGAGCGCGGGAAGCGAGCUGAUCCCCUUCGGGGGUGACGCUCGUGGAACGAGCGGCGGACGGGUGAGUAACACGUGGGUAACCUGCCUGUAAGAUCGGAAUAACUCCGGGAAACCGGAGCUAAUGCCGGGUAAUACUUUCUUUCGCAUGAAGGAAAGUUGAAAGAUGGCUUCUUGCUAUCACUUACAGAUGGACCCGCGGCGCAUUAGCUANUUGGUGAGGUAACGGCUCACCNAGGCGACGAUGCCUANCCGACCUGANAGGGNGAUCGGCCACACUGGCACUGACACACGGCCCAUACUCCUACUGUCGGCAUCAGUACGGACUUUUCCGCA